UACGUAGGCAGCAAGCGUUGUUCGGAAUUACUGGGCGUAAAGCGUGCGCAGGCGGUUUGUUAAGUCCGUUGUGAAAUCCCCGAGCUCAACUUGGGAAUUGCAAUGGAUACUGGCAAGCUGGAGUAUGGUAGAGGAAGGUGGAAUUCCCGGUGUAGCAGUGAAAUGCGUAGAGAUCGGGAGGAACACCAGUGGCGAAGGCGGCCUUCUGGACCAAUACUGACGCUCAUGCACGAAAGCGUGGGGAGCAAACAGG
rnacentral:rRNA from 1 species